rnacentral:rRNA from 1 species
AACGAACGCUGGCGGCGUGCUUAACACAUGCAAGUCGAACGCGAAAGGGGCUUCGGUCCUGAGUAAAGUGGCGCACGGGUGAGUAACGCGUGGAUAAUCUACCUGACAUUUUGGGAUAACAUUUCGAAAGGGGUGCUAAUACCGGAUAAGACCACGAGGCCUUAGGGCCAUGGGGUAAAAGGUGGGGACCUUCGGGCCUGCCGAUGUCAGAUGAGUCCGCGUACCAUUAGCUAGUUGGUGGGGUAAAGGCCUACCAAGGCGACGAUGGUUAGCUGGUCUGAGAGGAUGGUCAGCCACACUGGGACUGAGAUACUGCCCAGACUCCUACGGGAGGCUGCAGUCGAGAAUCAUUCGCAAUGGGCGCAAGCCUGACGGUGCGACGUCGCGUGGAGGAUGAAGGUCUUCGGGUUGUAAAGCUCUGUCUGGAGGGACGAACAAAAUAGACGGUACCUCCGGAGGAAGCCACGGACUAACUACGUGCCACGCAGCCGCGGUAAGUCUGUAGUCGU